AAGGAGUAUUAAUUUGGGGUGGUUGGGGAGAGGCUGGAUGAGAAGGUAAAGGAGAUCGACAUAACGCUGAAAGACGAAAGUGGUGCUAAAAAUCAGCUCCUUUAAAGGAAAUGGUCAAGUUUUCAGCCGUCCUCUUCAAUGAGGACUUAAACGCUGACCCUCGGAUGCUACCACAACUUUAGCACAGUAAGCAUAAAUUCUUGUGUUCCAAAUGAUCUAUUUUAGCUUCCACAAGGACACUUUAUGAGAAUAAGCUUCUGCAGUUGAUGGAUCAAAGCACGCUAGCCUGCUGCAGUAAGCCAGAUGAAAGUGAACACCUUGAUCAGAGCUCAGAAGAUGAGGAUCAAGAAGAACAAGAGAGAAGUGCUCAAGUAAUCCUUGAAACAAAAGACUUCAAAGUGACAGCAGCCUGUGCCUCUGGCCAUUGUAAACCUUCAUACCAGGAGGUGCCUGAACGCCACAAGAAACUUCUGUCGCCUAAUGCAGAUCACAGUCUUGCCAAGAUAAUGGCAGAGCUAGAACAAAUACUGCCGGAGGAUAAGUUGCUAGUACAUCGGACACAGGGACAAAAGAGAUC
rnacentral:lncRNA from 1 species